UUUCCGUGGGUGAACCUGCGGAAGGAUCAUUAUUGUAUAACCGAGGUGCGAGGGCUGUCGCUGACCCGAAAGGUCGUGCACGCCCGAGUGCCCUCACACACAUCCAUCUCACCCCUAUGUGCACCACCGCGUGGGCACCCUUCGGGAUCAUCUCGGAGGGGGGCUCGCGUUUUCACACAAACCCCCCUUUUAAAAGUGUAGAAUGACCACAUUUAUGCAAUCAAUACAACUUUCAACAACGGAUCUCUUGGCUCUC
rnacentral:misc_RNA from 1 species